CUGCUGCAGCAGCAGCUGCUGCAGCAGGAGCAGCAGCUGCAACGGCAGCUGCAGCAGAUGCUGCUGCAGCAGCAGCUGCUGCAGCAGUAGCAGCAGCUGCAACGGCAGCUGCAGCAGAUGCCGCUGCAGCUGCUGUUGCAGCGGAUGCUGCUGCAGUUGCUGCUGCCACUGCUGCUGCAGCGGAUGCUGGUGCAGUUGCUGCUGCAGCUGCUGCUGCAGCGGAUGCUGGUGCAGUUGCUGCUGCAGCUGCUGCUGCAGCGGAUGCUGCUGCAGUUGCUA
rnacentral:sRNA from 1 species